rnacentral:misc_RNA from 1 species
GAAAUGCGAUAAGUAAUGUGAAUUGCAGAAUUCCGUGAAUCAUCGAAUCUUUGAACGCACAUUGCGCCCUCUGGCAUUCCGGGGGGCAUGCCUGUCCGAGCGUCAUUACGCACCCUCAAGCCCGGCUUGUGUGAUGGGCCCCGGCGUCUCGUUCGCGAGACGGGCCCGAAAGGCAGCGGCGGCGUCGACCCGAUGAGCCCGAGCGUAUGGGGCUCUGUCACACGCUCGCGGUGGUUGGACCGACGUCACGUCCGGCUCUCGAGUUCUUCUCUCUCUCAGGUUGACCUCGGAUCAGGUAGGGAUACCCGCUGAACUUAAGC